CUAUAUUUGAGCAGUGAGCAUGAAAUCUGAGCACCUGAUGGAAAUCCAUGCACUCUGGAGGGGAACAUGCAAACUCCCCCAAACGUGCAACACCUGAGGUCAGGAUUGAAUCCAGGUCACUUGAGCAGUGAGUCAACAGACAAACCACUGCCACAGCUUCAAUAAUCGUGUCUUUUGAGAAAUAGUGCCCUUGACACCGACACUGUUUUACAGAAGUGAAGUCUCUUCACACAAUUAAAUAAAGUAUGUAAUUCUGCAAAAGAUGC